UUCCUAGUGGCCAAAUGGCAAGGCGUCUGACUACGAAUCAGAAGAUUGCAGGUUCGAGUCCUGUCUGGGAAG
rnacentral:tRNA from 1 species